UACGUAGGGUGCGAGCGUUAAUCGGAAUUACUGGGCGUAAAGCGUGCGCAGGCGGUCUUUUAAGUCAGAUGUGAAAUCCCCGGGCUUAACCUGGGAACUGCGUUUGAAACUGGAAGGCUAGAGUGUGGCAGAGGGGGGUGGAAUUCCACGUGUAGCAGUGAAAUGCGUAGAUAUGUGGAGGAACACCGAUGGCGAAGGCAGCCCCCUGGGCUAACACUGACGCUCAUGCACGAAAGCGUGGGGAGCAAACAGG
rnacentral:rRNA from 1 species